AUCCCAUGAUGAGGACGGGUGGUGACGUAUUCCUACAGCCUUUCCCAAUCUUCAAGAAUGGUUUCAUCCCUCGUCUGCUGAAAGCUGGAUAUUCUUCCGCGAAGAGC
rfam:Oryza barthii chromosome 8, whole genome shotgun sequence.